UACUUGGGUGUGUGUGUGUGUGUGUGUGUGUGUGCGCGCACACACACACACACACACAUACACACAGUG